AGCUGGGACAGCUGAGAAUUCAGGGCCUGAUCCAACGCCCAUUAAAAUUAUUGGAAAGGCUCCAACAAGCUCUGGGACACGUGGCAGCGUGCCCCUCCUGACGCAGCACAUCUCGGGGCUGCAGCAUGCACUCACACAGUGCAAAGCUCACGGUCGCUCCAGCCACGUCUGUACCAGCCCAAGGCUCAUCCCUGGGAUGGGGGCUGGAGAAGGCACACUCAGCAGGGGCAACAGCAAUGUGAAAGACAAGUCACAUUCUGGAUGGCCGUACACAGCUGUCGCACUAGAAAAUGAAGAGUGUUUUGAUCAGCUCAUGCACAAAUUGGCAGACUGCAACAAGGGAACUGUGGACAAAACUGAAUAUUGUCUUCAAUGAAUUGGAAAUGAUGGUGGCAGUGUUGGAAUACAGCAAAGUUUGCACCAAGUGGAUCCUGUGAAUGCUCAUAUGGGAACAGAAAGCACACCAUAUGCAAGUUUGUUAAGACUUAUUGAACCAAUACAAGGCUGAAGGUGACAGUUUCCUGGGUCACAUUGUUACAGGUGACA
ensembl:lncRNA